UCAAACUUGGUCAUUUAGAGGAAGUAAAAGUCGUAACAAGGUUUCCGUAGGUGAACCUGCGGAAGGAUCAUUAACAAUUUAUCCUCUUUUAUGGAUAAAUUUUAUCCAUAUCCACCUUGUGUGCAUCAUUGAAGUAUUAGUUGGCAGGUGAAAUCCCUUUCGGGGAUUUGAAGUGCAGUGAGCAAAUUUGCCAUUUGCAGCCUGCCAAUUUUUAAUUGUCUCAACAUGUCUACUUUGUAUUUUGGACUGAAAUGUGAUAAUUUAAUAAAUACAACUUUCAACAACGGAUCUCUUGGUUCUCGCAUCGAUGAAGAACGCAGC
rnacentral:misc_RNA from 1 species